AUGCAGAUGACGAGUCCCAAAUAGGACGAAACCCGCAUCCUGGAU
rnacentral:hammerhead_ribozyme from 1 species